rnacentral:rRNA from 1 species
AGAGUUUGAUCCUGGCUCAGGACGAACGCUGGCGGCGCGCCUAACACAUGCAAGUCGAACGAGCGAGAUAGAGCUUGCUUUCUCGAGCGAGUGGCGAACGGGUGAGUAACGCGUGAGGAACCUGCCUCAAAGAGGGGGACAACAGUUGGAAACGACUGCUAAUACCGCAUAAGCCCACGGCUCGGCAUCGAGCAGAGGGAAAAGGAGCAAUGCCGUCUGAGAGAUGGACUCGCGUCUGAUUAGCCAGUUGGCGGGGUAACGGCCCACCAAAGCAACGAUCGGUAGCCGGACUGAGAGGUUGAACGGCCACAUUGGGACUGAGACACGGCCCAGACUCCUACCGGAGGCAGCAGUGGGGGAUAUUGCACAAUGGGGGAAACCCUGAUGCAGCAACGCCGCGUGAAGGAUGAAGGUCUUCGGAUUGUAAACUUUUGUCCUAUGGGAAGAAGAAAGUGACGGUACCAUAGGAGGAAGCUCCGGCUAACUACGUGCCAGCAGCCGCGGUAAUACGUAGGGAGCAAGCGUUGUCCGGAUUUACUGGGUGUAAAGGGUGCGUAGGCGGAAGAGCAAGUCAGUAGUGAAAUCUGGGGGCUUAACCCCCAAACUGCUAUUGAAACUGUUUUUCUUGAGUGGAGUAGAGGUAGGCGGAAUUCCCGGUGUAGCGGUGAAAUGCGUAGAGAUCGGGAGGAACACCAGUGGCGAAGGCGGCCUACUGGGCUCUAACUGACGCUGAGGCACGAAAGUGUGGGUAGCAAACAGGAUUAGAUACCCUGGUAGUCCACACCGUAAACGAUGAUUACUAGGUGUGGGGGGUCUGACCCCCUCCGUGCCGGAGUUAACACAAUAAGUAAUCCACCUGGGGAGUACGGCCGCAAGGUUGAAACUCAAAGGAAUUGACGGGGGCCCGCACAAGCAGUGGAGUAUGUGGUUUAAUUCGAAGCAACGCGAAGAACCUUACCAGGUCUUGACAUCCAACUAACGAAGCAGAGAUGCAUCAGGUGCCCUUCGGGGAAAGUUGAGACAGGUGGUGCAUGGUUGUCGUCAGCUCGUGUCGUGAGAUGUUGGGUUAAGUCCCGCAACGAGCGCAACCCUUGUGAUUAGUUGCUACGCAAGAGCACUCUAAUCAGACUGCCGUUGACAAAACGGAGGAAGGUGGGGACGACGUCAGAUCAUCAUGCCCCUUAUGUCCUGGGCUACACACGUAAUACAAUGGCGGUCAACAGAGGGAUGCAAAACCGUAGGGUGGAGCGAACCCCUAAAAGCCGUCUCAGUUCAGAUUGUGGGCUGCAACCCGCCCACAUGAAGUCGGAAUCGCUAGUAAUCGCGGAUCAGCAUGCCGCGGUGAAUACGUUCCCGGGCCUUGUACACACCGCCCGUCA